rnacentral:rRNA from 1 species
CCUACGGGGGGCUGCAGUAGGGAAUCUUCGGCAAUGGGCGAAAGCCUGACCGAGCAACGCCGCGUGAAUGAUGAAGGCCUUCGGGUUGUAAAAUUCUGUUAUAAGGGAAGAACGACUUUAGUAGGAAAUGGCUAGAGUGUGACGGUACCUUAUGAGAAAGCCACGGCUAACUACGUGCCAGCAGCCGCGGUAAUACGUAGGUGGCAAGCGUUAUCCGGAAUUAUUGGGCGUAAAGAGCGCGCAGGUGGUUGAUUAAGUCUGAUGUGAAAGCCCACGGCUUAACCGUGGAGGGUCAUUGGAAACUGGUCGACUUGAGUGCAGAAGAGGGAAGUGGAAUUCCAUGUGUAGCGGUGAAAUGCGUAGAGAUAUGGAGGAACACCAGUGGCGAAGGCGGCUUCCUGGUCUGUAACUGACACUGAGGCGCGAAAGCGUGGGGAGCAAACAGGAUUAGAUACCCGUGUAGUC